GAUGAACGCUGGCGGCGUGCCUAACACAUGCAAGUCGAGCGAUUCUCUUCGGAGAAGAGCGGCGGACGGGUGAGUAACGCGUGGGUAACCUGCCCUGUACACACGGAUAACAUACCGAAAGGUAUGCUAAUACGAGAUAAUAUGCUUUUAUCGCAUGGUAGAAGUAUCAAAGCUCCGGCGGUACAGGAUGGACCCGCGUCUGAUUAGCUAGUUGGUAAGGUAACGGCUUACCAAGGCGACGAUCAGUAGCCGACCUGAGAGGGUGAUCGGCCACAUUGGAACUGAGACACGGUCCAAACUCCUACGGGAGGCAGCAGUGGGGAAUAUUGCACAAUGGGCGAAAGCUUGAUGCAGCAACGCCGCGUGAGCGAUGAAGGCCUUCGGGUCGUAAAGCUCUGUCCUCAAGGAAGAUAAUGACGGUACUUGAGGAGGAAGCCACGGCUAACUACGUGCCAGCCGCCGCCGUAA
rnacentral:rRNA from 1 species